GUUUAUUAUAUAUAACCAAAUACACGCUGAAUUUUAUAUAUACGUAUCAUUGGAAAAGUAAUAAAAGUUGUAGAAAUGGAAUUGAAUUUUUAUCAAUUGUAUAUUACAGUCUCGAAUACUGCUGGUAUCAUAAAUUCAGUCUACGGCUAGAAAUUCAAUUUGGAUUUAAUUCAAUGAACGAAACGUGUGGAUUUAACACCGGAAAACGCAAACUCAAACGUUAGAAUAAAACAAAAAAUACUAAAUAAAUGAGAGCACCACCACUAACAGAUGGUAAAAGAAAACAUCGUGAGGAAACCUGGUCUUAUAAUUUCAAAUUAUAAGAUUGAAAUCGCCAACCCGUCUUGAACAAGCGUGGUGAUUAAUGCUCUCACCUUCUCCAUGUGAGAAGAAGCCUUUCUCAGCAGUGGGCUCCGAUAGGCUGAUGAUGAUGAUAAUGAUGUUGUUUAGAUAUAGUGUUGGGGUUGUAUUGUAGAACCAUUGCACAUUAAUUAGCACUUUUAAAAUUACCUAAAAUCUGAUUAAAAAAAAUUUAAUCUCUAUUCCUAUUGGUAUCAUUAAGCGUAUUAUUUGCCGUCAUAGUUUUGUGAAAGAUUCUAAUUGUAGGAGAAAACAAAUGAACAAAAUAUAGGACUAAAAUUUAAUUUUUAUAGAAAUAACCCGUAUAUUUUUAAGUACUUUAGUCUGAAUUGUGGCUAUAGGCCAUUGCGCCAAGCUGCAUUGCGGUGUAAUAGUAGGCGUUACAUCUCAAAUAUAAUGUGAACAUCGCAUAUUUAUUUUAAGGAAGAUCUUCUUUUAUUCAAAUAGUAUUAAAUUGAAUUUCUGACUAGAUCCAUUAAUACUAAUAUUAUCUCUACGCAGUAUGGAGAAGUCGUUUACUGUUUCGUUUUUUAUUGCAGAUAUCUAGGUAUAGUCCGCGAGGUUAAGCUGAGCUUUGCAUUUGCGUGAGUGAAAGCAAAAGUAAAGUCAAACAAAAAAUUUAGAAUUGAAUUUUUUUAUUUUUAAAUAGAUACAUAACAGAAGUGGGAGAGCUAUUCUAAAUUUAAAAUAAAUUAAUCAAGGCAUGUUGAAAAAAAAAAUACAAUAAUUUAUGAAUUCAAAAUAUUAAAAAAAAUAUACGAACUCUUCCUCAAUUUAUAUUUUUAGGUCAAUAAUUUCUUUAAAAUAACUAUUUAAAUUACACUUUUUUUUUACAUUGUUAUUUAAAGGUUUAAAUAUGCUUCGUUUAUUUUUGUUAGAAUCCAUUUCAAAACUAGAAUACAAAAAUUAAAUAUUAAGUAAAGCAGUAUAAAGCGGUCUUAACCUAGAAAAGCACGUGGCACGCACAAAUUUGACAUCACACCUACACUAUCUGUGUGCACUCACACAAAUGCAAAUCUCAACUUACGCCUCACGCACUAUAGUAAUUAUGUGUUUUACCCUUACUAAAAAAUUGCAAUUUAACAAACAAUGUCAUUUUCUCGUUCUAUCUAAAUUGAAAUGAAAUUAAAAAUUUAUGUUUAUCUCUCCGCAUCACUUUAAUAUUGCGUGACAAAGUUGGAGUGCAAUUUUAAUGUACAUAGAUUAUAUCAUAUCCUAGUAUAAAUAUGUUCUUGUAUAUACAUAUUUAUAAAAUAAUGUAUAAAAUAGUUAUUAAUUGCAAGCUUGUGUAAGUAUUAAUGUUUGCGCUUUAAAAAAUUUAAAUCAAGUCUAGCUUAUUAAAAAUUUUCUUAAUUAAUUCUAUAAAUACAAAAAAGAUUACUAAGCCAAUGCAUUCUUAUAUCAAAUCUCAGUUAUGAAACGUUUCCUUUAAUGAUAGAAAUAAAAAUAUUUUUAUCGAAAUUUAUUUUUGCCAAUUAAUUUCUGAACUAAUAAAAAUAGCAGACUUUUUUCGAUUGCGGAGAAAAGAUUCUUUCAUUAAUUUAAUUAUUAGAGAGAAUGUGUCAAAUGACAUUAGUUUCUUUUAAAUCGUUAUAAAUGAACAAGGUUAUGAUUAAACACGAGAAACUACAAAUUUGAAUGACGAAAAACAGAAUCAAUGUUGUACUUUUGACAAUGGUUUACAUCAUAUUAGUUUGUAUGCAUUGUUAUAUAAUAAUUCGUUCAAAAUAAAAAUAAUAAUGACACUAAAUUAUGUUACUGCUAUUGUAAAUUUAUAAUGGUAUUAUUAUAAUAAUUUUAAAUUUGUCUCGCAUUCUCCCUUAACCAUUUCAGAUGGAAAACUUUGUGUUAAAAUUUAAUAUUUGUUCCAAAAGUUAGAAGGAUAGUGUUACUUUAAUAUAUUACUUUAUCUUACAAAAACUAGAACACAUCGUAGUUAUAGAGUUAUUUCUUGAAACUCUGAAAGUAUGAUGAAAUAAUUUUCUCCUUAUAAGGCAUUAAGAUUAAGCUGAAACAAUAAUAUUUUUUAAAUAAAAAGUUGCGAGGUAAUUUGACAUAUGCGUAAAAAUGUAAAUAGUGAAAAUAUAGGAUCUUGAAUUGAAUUUAUUUGCUAAUAUGUCUUCCUUGGUCUUACGUUUUCCUUAAUCGAUCGGAGAAGAAGACAUCAGGGAGUUUCAAGAUUUUAUAUUCCUUUAUAUGCCAUCAAUUUACAAAACUUAAUUUAUUUAUUAAAUAAAUUUUCUUUGCUUAAAAAUAAUUUCGAUGCAAACAAGUAUUUAUUUCUUGGUGUAAUAAUUUAUUUUCUGACGUUAUAACUUAGUAUACUACUUAUAUAUAACUAAUACUACUUUAUUAAUUACAUCUAACAAGCUUAAACGCGAAAUAUGUUAAAAAAAUAUAUUGAAUAUUCAAUGUUCAUUUUAAAAAUUAUUACAAUGAAAUAUGUCUAGAUUAAAAUAUAUCUAUUUCAGUUCACUAAUGUCUUUCUAUAAAAAUAUCACUCGUAAUCGUGUUAUCGUUUGUUAGCCACUGACUUUGCAGCAUGUUUAUUUUGUAAUAAACGACCUAUGUUCCUUAUCACCGAUCAUUGAUUAAACAAUGUAUAAAGUACCAAAGUCAUAGUAAUUUUUAGUAAACAUUAAUUUAUACACACGGGCUAGUUAUUAGUCUUCUAGAAAAUGUACCUACAAUUCUGCAGAAACUUUC